rnacentral:rRNA from 1 species
UACAGAGGUCCCAAGCGUUGUUCGGAUUCACUGGGCGUAAAGGGUGCGUAGGUGGUUAGGUAAGUCCGGUGUGAAAUCUCCCAGGCUCAACCUGGAAAUGGCAUUGGAUACUAUUUAGCUAGAGGAGUGGAGGGGGGGGACUGGAAUUCUCGGUGUAGCAGUGAAAUGCGUAGAUAUCGAGAGGAACACCAGUGGCGAAGGCGAGUCCCUGGACACUUCCUGACACUGAGGCACGAAAGCUAGGGAGCAAACAG